rnacentral:lncRNA from 1 species
AUUAUAUAUAUAUAUAUAUUUGACAAAAACCCGGGGAGGCCAUUCUUAUUAUUCCCAUUUUACAGGAGAGCUCAUGGAGGUUCUGACUUGCUCAAACGACUAAAGACAUCGAUAAUAUGUAGGAAAAGUCCAUAAUCCGUUAGAACACCGUGAACCAUUACUGUAUAGAUCUGCAAAGAUAAACCAUUGGUGCUACAUUGUAAGGAGUUUGCAGGAUGGGAAGACUGCCUGGGCCCGAGGAAGACCGAUCUCUUCGAAUACUGUGAGAACCGGG